GGACGAACGCUGGCGGCGUGCCUAACACAUGCAAGUCGAACGGAGAAGUUAGCAAUAGCUUSSUUAGUGGCGAACGGGUGAGUAACGCGUAGACAACCUGCCUCAAAGAUGGGGACAACACUGCGAAAGUGGUGCUAAUACCGAAUGUAUUAGUUUMGGGCGCAUGCCUGAGAUAGGAAAGGUGGCCUCUAUUUAUAACGCUACCGCUWUGAGAUGGGUCUGCGUCUGAUUAGCUAGUUGGUGGGGUAACGGCUCACCAAGGCGACGAUCAGUAGCCGGUCUGAGAGGAUGAACGGCCACACUGGGACUGAGACACGGCCCAGACUCCUACGGGAGGCAGCAGUGGGGAAUCUUCCGCAAUGGACGAAAGUCUGACGGAGCAACGCCGCGUGAGUGAAGAAGGUUUUCGGAUCGUAAAGCUCUGUCUUUUGGGACGAACGUGGUUAUUGUAAAUAAUGAUAGCUAAUGACGGUACCGAAGAAGGAAGCCACGGCUAACUACGUGCCAGCAGCCGCGGUAAUACGUAGGUGGCAAGCGUUGUCCGGAAUCAUUGGGCGUAAAGCGCGCGCAGGUGGGAUAUUAAGUCUGUUGUAAAAGAGCGGGGCUCAACCCCGUUAAGCGAUGGAAACUGGUAUUCUUGAGUGCAGGAGAGGACAGUGGAGUUCCCAGUGUAGCGGUGAAAUGCGUAAAUAUGGGGAGGAACAUCAGUGGCUAAGGCGACUGUCUGGACUGUGUCUGACCUUGAGGCGCGAAAGCCCAGGGUAUUGAACCGGGAUUAGAUUACCCCGGGUAAUUCCUGGGCCGUUAAACCAAAUGGGGUACCUAACGUGGU
rnacentral:rRNA from 1 species